CAGGCUUAACACAUGCAAGUCGAGGGGCAGCAUGGUCUUAGCUUGCUAAGGCCGAUGGCGACCGGCGCACGGGUGAGUAACACGUAUCCAACCUGCCGUCUACUCUUGGACAGCCUUCUGAAAGGAAGAUUAAUACAAGAUGGCAUCAUGAGUCCGCAUGUUCACAUGAUUAAAGGUAUUCCGGUAGACGAUGGGGAUGCGUUCCAUUAGAUAGUAGGCGGGGUAACGGCCCACCUAGUCUUCGAUGGAUAGGGGUUCUGAGAGGAAGGUCCCCCACAUUGGAACUGAGACACGGUCCAAACUCCUACGGGAGGCAGCAGUGAGGAAUAUUGGUCAAUGGGCGAGAGCCUGAACCAGCCAAGUAGCGUGAAGGAUGACUGCCCUAUGGGUUGUAAACUUCUUUUAUAAAGGAAUAAAGUCGGGUAUGGAUACCCGUUUGCAUGUACUUUAUGAAUAAGGAUCGGCUAACUCCGUGCCAGCAGCCGCGGUAAUACGGAGGAUCCGAGCGUUAUCCGGAUUUAUUGGGUUUAAAGGGAGCGUAGAUGGAUGUUUAAGUCAGUUGUGAAAGUUUGCGGCUCAACCGUAAAAUUGCAGUUGAUACUGGAUAUCUUGAGUGCAGUUGAGGCAGGCGGAAUUCGUGGUGUAGCGGUGAAAUGCUUAGAUAUCACGAAGAACUCCGAUUGCGAAGGCAGCCUGCUAAGCUGCAACUGACAUUGAGGCUCGAAAGUGUGGGUAUCAAACAGGAUUAGAUACCCUGGUAGUCCACACGGUAAACGAUGAAUACUCGCUGUUUGCGAUAUACUGCAAGCGGCCAAGCGAAAGCGUUAAGUAUUCCACCUGGGGAGUACGCCGGCAACGGUGAAACUCAAAGGAAUUGACGGGGGCCCGCACAAGCGGAGGAGCAUGUGGUUUAAUUCGAUGAUACGCGAGGAACCUUACCCGGGCUUAAAUUGCAGAUGAAUUACGGUGAAAGCCGUAAGCCGCAAGGCAUCUGUGAAGGUGCUGCAUGGUUGUCGUCAGCUCGUGCCGUGAGGUGUCGGCUUAAGUGCCAUAACGAGCGCAACCCUUGUUGUCAGUUACUAACAGGUUCCGCUGAGGACUCUGACAAGACUGCCAUCGUAAGAUGUGAGGAAGGUGGGGAUGACGUCAAAUCAGCACGGCCCUUACGUCCGGGGCUACACACGUGUUACAAUGGGGGGUACAGAGGGCCGCUACCACGCGAGUGGAUGCCAAUCCCCAAAACCUCUCUCAGUUCGGACUGGAGUCUGCAACCCGACUCCACGAAGCUGGAUUCGCUAGUAAUCGCGCAUCAGCCACGGCGCGGUGAAUACGUUCCCGGGCCUUGCACACACCGCCCGUCAAGCCAUGGGAGCCGGGGGUACCUGAAGUGCGUAACCGCGAGGAGCGCCCUAGGGUAAAACUGGUGACUGGGGCUAAG
rnacentral:rRNA from 1 species